rnacentral:lncRNA from 1 species
AUAUAUAUAUAUAUAUAUAUAUAUAUAUAUAUAUAUAUAUAUAUAUAUAUAUAUAUAUAUAUAUAUAUAUAUAUAUAUAUAUAUAUAUAUAUAUAUAUAUAUAUAUAUAUAUAUAUAUAUAUAUAUAUAUAUAUAUAUAUCAUGAUUUACUCGAUUGUUAAUACAAAACAAUAGCAAAUACAAAAAUACAAAUAAAACACCAAAUUAAGGGAGAGUUUUUCAUUUGGCACUACAGAAAAAGACACAAACACAUUCAUAUUGACAUGAAAUACAAAAAAGACACAGGUUUAAAACACAUAAGGCCACGUGAACAAAGAAAAUAAUUUUUUGCUCAAACUGCACCAAGUCUACUAUGAAGUCAGUGAAAAUAAGUACAUAACACAGUGGUGAUGGUCUGCACUAUUAAGGCACAGAUUCAGCCUUGAAAGGCACUGACGGACACAAUCCGAGGCCAGGAAUGCCUCACAAAAACAAAAAAUUCACAACUGGGGGAGACUGGAAGUACAGUGGGGAAAACAAACUUUGAGGGGGGAGAAAGAAGUAGGGGUACGCUAAUCUAGGUCACGAUGACAGUACAGCCACGCCUCGAAUCGCCUUUCCUCCCUCCUCCUCUUCUUUGGCACGCUCAGAGGAAAUGCUGGCAGGCUACAAGCCCCCAUCCCCCUCUUUUUCUCUCCAUAAAGUCCAAAAUCAGCAACAUCUGUGUAAUGCAAGUCAGACAAGGCUCCACGGGGGAAGAGACCAUAAAUCCUGCUAAAUGUGCGUAAGACAAUUUAUUAAGCCUGACUGUUCUUUUAACACUGCGCUUUCUGCAAGACCUCGCCACGGAGUUUGCGGUUUCCUCCAUUAUUGAGGCCGGUUAGCAGAGGAUGUGAAAGAAAUGUGCUGAUCUGAGCUUGUUUUCAUACAUCCAACGUUCCCCACAUCGUACACCGAACGGGCUCAAGAGAAAAACAUAAAAACCUGGCAGACGGACGAAUCACUCACGAACAAUAAAAAUAACCACAAAACAAUACAAAGUGACAAUUCUACAUUAGGGAACAGGGUAUUUGAUUGGAUGAGCACCAUAGAACGACGAAGGUGGGUGUGUCUACUUAAGAGAAACAUACAUGUAGAGGAUUGGCUAUGGGAAGCGAAGUGUGUGAAUGUAUCAGACCCACUGCUGCAGGGACCUUUUGCAGUGAACUAACACUUUGGGUGUCUCUUCCUUUGGAGUGUGGUGGUUAAUGAUGUAUAUGAUCCCAGAAUGCACAGCACCAGAACCAGAGGCACAGUCACCAAGAUGAGGGUCAUGAUGUGUUCAUCAGUCUCUUUCACUCUAAGAAUGACAUCUUCUUCUUUUUUCUCAUCUUCAUUUCCGUCUUCAGUAUCUUCUUCAUCACCAUUGUUGUGGUCGUCAGGGUCUUGAUUCUUGUCGUUCGUCUCAGGUGUUCGAUGGUCGGGAUUGUGUGUGUGUGUGUGUGUAUAUAUAUAUAUAGUGUGUGUGUGUGUGUGUGUGUAUAUAUAUAUAUAUAUAUAUAUAAUGUGCAUAUAUGUAUGUGUAUAUAUAUAUAUAUUUUUUUUUCCCAAUAAAAAGCCUUUAAAACUUAAGAUAUGCUUAUCAUUGUUUUUCAGUAUACCAUAGAAACAUGUGGAAAAAUAAUCUACAAAUACUGAAGCAGCAAACUUUGCAAAACACAAAAUUUAUGUCACUAGAUCUGCAUUCAUUGAGGAUGGACAGAGGGAGAAAAAUAAAACAAAAGGUUGAUUGGGUUAAAAGACUAAGGUGACAGAAGGGGGAAGGGGAGAUAUAUACAGAUACACACAUACAUACACACACACACAUAUAUAUAUAUACACACACACACACACACUCACACACAAUGCUACAAAAUGACAGUAUGAAUGAUUAAAUAGUAAGCAACCAGAGCAGAAAUGGAGGCACAUAAACAUUUCAUUUUGCCCUGACCAGACUACGGACAGCGCGGAUAUUCUUCAUGUCAGUGCAAUCAGUGUGACAGCUGGUCACCAAGGAAACGGACAACAAUUCUCAGAGGCAUAAACUGCGAGAAGUGCUGUUUUGCAUCAUCUGGCGGUUUGCGUGCAAUAACAGCCUGUCGUUUGUUUUACAGACACGCACACACACAUUCCCUUUCCUAAACAGUGGCGAUAAUGCUGUUUACAUCAUCUCUCACCGAACGGACAGGGACAAUCACAAUUAUCUGGAUAUAUCUGAUGAGCUUGCGAGCGUGUGCGGUGACAGCCCUAUGUGUUUGCAUGAUAUAAAUAGCCCUGUUGUAGCUGGGAGGAAGGGAGUGUUAGCGAUUGAACGUGUGCCAUAGCAAUGCUAUGAUGUCUUCCUGUGGAGUCCUGCACCCUUGGCCCCGCCCCCCACCU